AUUGAACGCUGGCGGCAUGCCUUACACAUGCAAGUCGAACGGUAACAGGUCUCGGAUGCUGACGAGUGGCGAACGGGUGAGUAAUACAUCGGAACGUGCCCGAUCGUGGGGGAUAACGAAGCGAAAGCUUUGCUAAUACCGCAUACGAUCUACGGAUGAAAGCAGGGGACCGCAAGGCCUUGCGCGAACGGAGCGGCCGAUGGCAGAUUAGGUAGUUGGUGGGAUAAAAGCUUACCAAGCCGACGAUCUGUAGCUGGUCUGAGAGGACGACCAGCCACACUGGGACUGAGACACGGCCCAGACUCCUACGGGAGGCAGCAGUGGGGAAUUUUGGACAAUGGGCGCAAGCCUGAUCCAGCCAUGCCGCGUGCAGGAUGAAGGCCUCGGUUGUAAC
rnacentral:rRNA from 1 species